rnacentral:rRNA from 1 species
CGGAGGAUCCAAGCGUUAUCCGGAUUUAUUGGGUUUAAAGGGUGCGUAGGCGGCUUAUUAAGUCAGGGGUGAAAGACGGUGGCUCAACCAUCGCAGUGCCUUUGAUACUGAUGAGCUUGAAUACACUAGAGGUAGGCGGAAUGUGACAAGCAGCGGUGAAAUGCAUAGAUAUGUCACAGAACACCGAUUGCGAAGGCAGCUUACUAUGGUGUCAUUGACGCUGAGGCACGAAAGCGUGGGGAUCAAACAGGAUU